UGGAAUUGGAACCACAUGGUCAGUCCUUUGGAGUGGCUGUCUUUGCUGUAGUUUGAAUACUUGGCGUGGCUGUUCAGUUCAAGAAAGGAGCUCAUUGUUCUAUAUCUUAUCCGGCCAGGUGAUCUUUAUUUAUUUUUUAAUUGAAAAUUUUUAUUUAAUUAAUUAAUUUAGAAUAUUUUUCCAUGGUUACAUGAUUCAUGUUCUUUCCCUCCCCUCCUCCUAAGUCGACAUGCAAUUCUACAUGUGUCAUUGAUCAAGACCUAUUUCCCUAUUAUUUAUAUUUGUACAAGGAGGAUCUUUUAGAGUCAACAUCCCCAAUCAUAUCCCUAACGACCCAGGUGAUCAAGCAGUUGUUUUUCUUCUGUGUGUCUACUCCCACAGUUCUUCCUCUGAAUAUGCUGGGUGAUCUUUAGAAUCUUCCCAAGACAGUUCCCAUGGAAGCUAGUCAGUCUUGGCACGGCCCUGGUGUAUGUCCAGGGUACUCAGGCAGACCACGGUGAAGUCAGCACAAAAGCUCUGUGGACGGUCAGUUUAGGACACAGCCUAAGUGUGGCUUAGUGAGGAGGAAGACGGUAUUCAGGUUUAAUCUGAUAGUAACAACUCACAGGAUUUCUGUGAUGUCCCAAAGGCUAUUUAUGGGCUGAGGACCUAUGGUGUAUUCAUUUGCUCAGAGCUGAUGGAGGCACAGUGAUGGGUGAUGAGGACAUGAUCCUGGAGAGAUGGGUUGAGCACUUCCAAAAUGUCCUUAACAGACCAUCAUCAAUCAGUGCUGAGGCCAUUGACAGUAUGUAUGUCUCAGGUCGAAGUCAAUCCCUUCCUAGUCAAACUUCCAACUGAAGAGAUAUUAAAUGCUGUCAGGUUCUUUCUCUAUGGCAAAGUGCCUGGUUCUGAUUCCACUCUGGCAGAAGUUACAAGGCAGGAGGUCCUCGAAAACUGACUGAAACCUUCUGGGAUAUAUGGCAAGAGGAGGUUAUCCCCAGGAGAUCAAGGCCGCCUCCAGCGCCCAUCGCUACAGGCAACAUACACACAGUGCCAGUGGAGGGAAAGUACUAGUGGCCGUAGGGUGGAGAGGAGGGCAUUUGCUGCCCAGGGGCAGGAUUUACUCGAGCCUUGAAGGAAGCCAGGAGGCCGAGGUGAGAAGGGACCCGGGAUGCAGAGGGGUGGGUUGGGAGAUAGGGGAAUGGCAAGUUGGCCACAGUUUCUGAAUCACAGAGGGUGUGGAGAGUAGUACAUUGGAAUAAGAUCUGAAAGGUAGGAAGGGGAAAGGUUGUGAAGGGUUUUAAAUGUCAAAUAGAGCAUUUUAGAUUGGAUCCUGAAGCUAAGUGGCUUGGGGAGCCAUUGGAGUUCAAUAAAGUGUAGGAGUGCAUGCAUGACAGAGUCAGAUUUGAUCUUUAGAUUGGGAAGAUCUUGUGCCCUUGCUGGGGAAGCUGGGAAGAGAAGAUGGUUUGACUGGGGAGAGAAUAAGUUCCAAUUUGGAGAUAUUAAGUUUGAUUCUUCUAAAUUUCUUCCUCCCUCUAAAUCUAUGAUUGUGCAGGGCAGAUAUGGGAGGGACUAACUCUUGAGGUAUCAGGUUUCCAAAAAAGCUCAAGAGAAAGAAAGAAUCGUUCAGGAUAUUAACAAGAAAAUUUCCCAGCUUUAUUAAACUGAGGGACAGAUUCCAGACAGACAAGAUUAUAGGCCAUUUGAAUUUUAUAAUUAUUAUUGGGUAUUCUGUUUUUUUCUUCUUUUAUUUUGCCAGUGGCACAUAUAUGAGAGGAGAUGGUGUCCAUCCUGGGGGGCACCACGGAGUGAAUUUCUCAUUCUCAGAAAGAGGGGUGGGAAAGUGGUUAAGAAAUUUGCCAAAGUGAAUCUGGGCUUUUCAUGUUGUGAGGCCCUCUUAUGUAAGGAUUAUGGAAGAACAUGCGUCUCUUUAUUUUUCACAAUGUGAAAAGACACUUUUUAGUAGUGGUGAUUCAUCUCACCAAAUUAUUUGCUUUUAUUGCCAUGAAUUGAGAAAUUAGGUUAGGGAAAAAUAUGCAAAGUAGAGGCAAAAUAGCAGUAAGAGAAAGAAAAGAAGGGAAAAAAAAACCUUGGAAGUUACAUUCACUUUGUUGGCAAAACUUAAAGUCAUUUGACAUUUAUUGUGGGCAAUUUUCAGAGGGAAUUGUUUGCUAUGAUAGGUUUAUUUUUUCUUGAAAAAGCUUUUGUUUAGCUCAACUUUUCUUAUUCUGUUGCCAACAAGGUGUCUUCUAUGGAAAUAAAUUUCCUGUCAUCCUCACACAACAAUACAAAGAAUAAUAUAUAUUCUCUCUAACAUUUAAUUAAAGAUUUUUCAAAGCAGUAAAGCCAUGCAUGUAAAAGAAAUGCAGAAAAAAAAUAGUUGGAGAAGGUAUUGAGGAAACAAGGGCCAGUAACUGAAAAAGUACAUUUUAUAAUUAUCUUUGGUCAAGAAUAUUAUUUUCUAACCUCUGUUUGGUUUUCCAAAUAGUCCUAGCUCCAUCUUCAGCUGCUGUCCUGUGCAUACAAAGAGACCCAUGGUGGGUUCCUGCUUAUGAGCCCUGUACUAUUCGCUUUUUAACUAAGUCAUUCUUUCCAUUCUGUUGAUUCAGAGUUCCCCUUCAGACUUAUCUCAGGAUCCUAACAUUUGUAAAUAGCAGUCAAGGUGAACUACUCCCUAGAAGCAGUCCUGGGUUGAAUGUUUGACCAAGAUUAAGUAAGAUCUGGCUUUGAAUCCUGCCAUGGGGUUUUCAAGUUGUGUGAACCUUCAGUUUCUUCAUCUGUAAACAAGGGGUGAGGCUCCAUCUCUAAAGAGUCUUUCAGUAGCAAGUCUAAGAUCUCAUUUAGCCUCCUUUUAUGGCCAACCCAUCAUCAUUUUAACUCUUCAUUUUUUAUAAGUUUCUUUUUCUUAUUUAUAGUAGUAGUAGCUUGAAUUUUAAAAGCAUUCUGCAGUACUUUUGAAUAAUUGGUAUAUUGAAUAAUUUGUAUUCAAUUUUUUGAUUUGUAAUUGAAUUUGUAAUUGAAUAAUGAUUCCUGUUUUGCAGGUAAAGAAAAGGAGGUUUGGAGAGAUUAAUUAACAUGCCCAUGAAUGAUGACAGGGUCAGGCUAUGAUGACAGGGCUUUUGAUUCCAUUUGGCCAGUCAUUUGUAAAAUCAUAGAUCUGAUGUAUGGAGCUUAGUGGGAGUCAAGAGAUAGGUCAUUCCUGGUCCAACAUAACCAGUCUUUAAACCACAGAAUGCUGCCAUAUUCUUUACUACCAAAGAAAGGGAGAUGUCAUGUCAAAUCUGGAGGAAAAUAAGUGGGCCACUUUUUCUGGAACACACUGUGAGAGGAGUAAUGUGAAAUAAGUUUGGAAAGGCUGGAGGAGACUUGUGUGUGCCUGUAGGCAGGAGAAGAGGAGAGCCAGUAGAAGAGAAAUUAAAGAUGAUAGAAAGAGAGAAAAUGACUUCAAAAGAAGGCUUUCAGAAGAGAUUGGGGAGAGAUGGGGUCAAGAGCACAGCUGAAGUGCCUUGGUUUGACAAAUAGAAAGGAUACUUCUUCCUUGAGAAUGUAACAGAGGAGAGCAUGUGGGAUCAUUCAAAGGGAUUUUGAAGUGUGAAAUGAGGGGAGGCAGCUCUUAAGAAGGGCUUAUCUUCUCAAAAAAAGUAGAUGAGAUCCUGGACUGAAGUGGGAGCUGUAGAGGGUUUGAUGAGAGGAGAAGUAUGGAUUAGCCACUGACAUAACCUAGGUCCUUGGUUGGGGGUGGGAGGUUCUAAAUAGUAAACACAGGUGGUUCAGACCCCCCAGUCUCACUGGGCUAAGGUCAAACAAUGCUUAAUUUCCACAAUCACUGCCUGCCUUGGAGUCUACCCAGAAAAGAGCAAAACUUAACCAAAAGUUGCACUGCGGUAUUUAACAUAUCAUUAGCAUCUCAUUUACAUAAUGGUGUGCAACCUGCUCCCUCCCCCAAGGGGGCAAACAGAGUGAACUAUGGGUAAAGUUGCCCAGACCAAAGUGGAGACCAUGGAUAAAGUGGUAUCAGUUCCCUGGAGACACAGGGCAAGGACUGCCCAAACAAAUGAUGCCUUCCUUAGUAAUCAAGCAGGAUGGAAAGAGUUCCCAAGAGCCUUGACCUUUCUGUCAACAGGGCCAUUCCACCAGCUUCCUCCCCGUUUCAGUAAAGCUUAUUCCUUGGCCAUGGAGAUUGUCUGAGGCAUUAAUUCUUUGGAUGAGACCCCAAACUCGCCUUUCGCAUCACUGGAAUAAUAAAGGAAUUGCCUGUAGUGGCAAGGGCUAACUAAGAUCAGAUCCAUUAAUAGGGGACUCAGUUGUCAAGAUCACAGGAUUUUCUCUAAUAAUUUUCUUUAAAGGCAGGCAGCACAGAUGGAGGACGGCUUGUGGAACUGGCAUUUUACCCAGACGGAGCCCCUUGAGGAGGUUUCAAUUUCAGUAGGUGGCUGGUGCUUCUUGAACUUCAGGGUUGGCUUCCCUAGAGACCAAAAAGAGCCAGGAUCAUGGCAGGAUCUCUGAUCACUCUCCCUGGGUGCUAGACCUCUUCAUCCUCUGGGAUUCUGAAUAAAGCACUGUGUCCAAUUAAGCUAUACUUGUGUGUUUCUGUUGGUGUAAUUUAAUUCCACUGAAAUCAAGCAGGACAAGAGAGAGGGGGCAGUUUUUGUACCACUAAGUGGAGGCAUGAGCUGUAAGAAUCUAAUGAGAUAAAUUCAAACACGCCACCACCCCAGAUUAGGCAGAUAAGUGCAGCAACAUGCAAAAGGCACAGAUUCAGAGCUGGAAAGGAACUAGGAGACUAAGCCAUCCCACAUCCUAUUUUUACAAAUGAAGGACUGAAGAUAAGAAAGUUGAAUGACUUGCACAGAUGCCCACAGGUAAGUAGCAGAGGCAGGAACUGAACCCCAGAAAAUGCAGCAUUCUUUCUUCCAGACCCAUCUGCUGGGACACAACACAUGGACUUGGGGGAAAUGAGUUCAUUUUUUAGGAUGGAAGACUGACAAAUGUCAGGCAAUUGGGGUUGUGACUUGCCCAGGGUUACACAGGUGGCAACUAGUUCUUAAGGUCUUUUUGAGUCUACCUCACCUUUAUUGUGGACAGAUGUGCCACCCUUGGACUCUGAUUUUGUCUUCUCAUCUCUCAUUCCCUUUUCAGAAGCUGGACUCAUGCAUGUCCCUACUGUAGAAAUAACUCACAUUCACUGUCAGUGCCUUUAAGUGUGUCUGUUAGAUUCAUCUAGUGUGGUUGACAUCAUUGGGGUCAAGUUUCAAUUAACAAUAAUGCAUUACUUGUAAUAGUUAACACUACGUUUAUGUAAUACUUUAUAUCUUCUAUUUCAUUUGACACAGCAACCCUGGGAAAUAUGUGCUAUUAUUAUCCUCAUUUUAGAGGGGAGGAAACUUGAUGUUGAAAGAGGUUAAGUGACUUGCCCAGGGCCAUACAGCUGUAAGCAUCUGAGACAGGAUUCAAACUUGGGUCUUCCUGAUCGCAAGUUCAGCACUCUAUCCACCAUGCUACCUAGCUACACCAUUUAUUGAGUGUCUAGUUACUAAAGAUACAGACAA